rnacentral:rRNA from 1 species
UCCAGACUCCUACGGGAGGCAGCAGUGGGGAAUAUUGCACAAUGGGGGAAACCCUGAUGCAGCGACGCCGCGUGAGUGAAGAAGUAUUUCGGUAUGUAAAGCUCUCUCAGCAGGGAAGAUAAUGACGGUACCUGACUAAGAAGCCCCGGCUAACUACGUGCCAGCAGCCGCGGUAAUACGUAGGGGGCAAGCGUUAUCCGGAUUUACUGGGUGUAAAGGGUGCGCAGGUGGCAGGGCAAGUCAGAUGUGAAAGCCCGGGGCUCAACCCCGGUAUUGCAUUUGAAACUGUCCGGCUAGAGUGCAGGAGAGGUAAGCGGAAUUCCUAGUGUAGCGGUGAAAUGCGUAGAUAUUAGGAGGAACACCAGUGGCGAAGGCGGCUUACUGGACUGUAACUGACACUGAGGCACGAAAGCGUGGGGAGCAAACAGGAUUAGAUACCCGCGUA